rnacentral:rRNA from 1 species
AUUGAACGCUGGCGGCAGGCUUAACACAUGCAAGUCGAACGAGUGGCGGACGGGUGAGUAAUGCUUGGGAAUCUAGCUGAUGGAGGGGGAUAACUACGGGAAACUGUAGCUAAUACCGCGUACCAUAGGAUGAGCCCAAGUGGGAUUAGUUAGUUGGUGAGGUAAUGGCUCACCAAGCCGACGAUCUCUAGCUGGUCUGAGAGGAUGACCAGCCACAUGGGAACUGAGACACGGCCAAGGCUCCUACGGGAGGCAGCAGUGGGGAAUAGUGCACAAUGGGCGCAAGCCUGAUGCAGCCAUGCCGCGUGUGUGAAGGAGGCCCUGGGGUUGUAAAGUACGUUCAGUCGGGAGGCGUUACCGGCAGAAGAAGCACCGGCUAACUCCGUGCCAGCAGCCGCGGUAAUAC